GCGCUCGCUUCAGCAGCACGUAUACUGAAUUGGAACCAUCCGGAGAAGAUUCGCAGGAUUGGCAUGGCCCCUGUGCCAGGAGGAUAUGCAAAUUCAUGAAGCAUUCCAUCGUUUU
ensembl:snRNA U6 U6 spliceosomal RNA